UGUCAAUUAACCGAUUGUUUCCGAUAAACGAUUGGUUUUAAUAUACGACCGGUCCGUCCCUAUACAUUUUGUGUCAAUAACGCGGUUGUAUCAAUUAUCUGCGUUCCUAAUAAGCGGUUUCUACCGUAUAUAGAAAUAUAAAUGUAAUUACUAAAAAACAAGGGAACUCGAACCUGGUUUUGAUUCGUCGGAUAAAUCUGAAUCGUCGAAAUCGGUUACCGAUCACUUCAGAGAGUUCGAGCGAGAGAAUGAUAAUGAGAAAAAAAAAUAA